rnacentral:rRNA from 1 species
GACGAACGCUGGCGGCGUGCUUAACACAUGCAAGUCGAACGAAGCUUGAUUACGGAUUCUUCGGAUGAAGUAUGAUAUGACUGAGUGGCGGACGGGUGAGUAACGCGUGAGUAACCUGCCCUUCAGAGGGGGAUAGCGUUUGGAAACGAACGGUAAUACCGCAUAAUGUAUUUUGACCGCAUGAUCGAAAUACCAAAGAUUUAUCGCUGAAGGAUGGACUCGCGUCUGAUUAGGUAGUUGGUGGGGUAACGGCCUACCAAGCCGACGAUCAGUAGCCGGACUGAGAGGUUGAGCGGCCACAUUGGGACUGAGACACGGCCCAGACUCCUACGGGAGGCAGCAGUGGGGAAUAUUGCACAAUGGGCGCAAGCCUGAUGCAGCAACGCCGCGUGAAGGAAGACGGUUUUCGGAUUGUAAACUUCUGUUCUUAGUGAAGAAUAAUGACGGUAGCUAAGGAGCAAGCCACGGCUAACUACGUG